UACGAAGGGGGGCUAGCGUUGCUCGGAAUCACUGGGCGUAAAGGGUGCGUAGGCGGGUCUUUAAGUCAGGGGUGAAAUCCUGGAGCUCAACUCCAGAACUGCCUUUGAUACUGAAGAUCUUGAGUUCGGGAGAGGUGAGUGGAACUGCGAGUGUAGAGGUGAAAAUUCGUAGAUAUUCGCAAGAACACCAGUGGCGAAGGCGGCUCACUGGCCCGAUACUGACGCUGAUGCACGAAAGCGUGGGGGAGCAAACAGG
rnacentral:rRNA from 1 species